rnacentral:rRNA from 1 species
GUGGGGAAUUUUGGACAAUGGGCGCAAGCCUGAUCCAGCAAUGCCGCGUGUGUGAAGAAGGCCUUCGGGUUGUAAAGCACUUUUGUCCGGAAAGAAAUGGCCUGGGUUAAUACCCCGGGUCGAUGACGGUACCGGAAGAAUAAGCACCGGCUAACUACGUGCCAGCAGCCGCGGUAAUACGUAGGGUGCGAGCGUUAAUCGGAAUUACUGGGCGUAAAGCGUGCGCAGGCGGCGAUGCAAGACAGAUGUGAAAUCCCCGGGCUCAACCUGGGAACUGCAUUUGUGACUGCAUGGCUAGAGUGCGUCAGAGGGGGGUGGAAUUCCGCGUGUAGCAGUGAAAUGCGUAGAGAUGCGGAGGAACACCGAUGGCGAAGGCAGCCCCCUGGGAUGACACUGACGCUCAUGCACGAAAGCGUGGGGAGCAAACAGGAUUAGAAACCCGUGUAGUCC